rnacentral:rRNA from 1 species
GACGAACGCUGGCGGCGCGCCUAACACAUGCAAGUCGAACGGAGUCACGAGGAGCUUGCUUUUCUUGACUUAGUGGCGAACGGGUGAGUAACGCGUGAGUAACCUGCCCUGGAGUGGGGGACAACAGUUGGAAACGACUGCUAAUACCGCAUAAGCCCACGGAUCCGCAUGGAUCUGCGGGAAAAGGAUUUAUUCGCUUCAGGAUGGACUCGCGUCCAAUUAGCUAGUUGGUGAGGUAACGGCCCACCAAGGCGACGAUUGGUAGCCGGACUGAGAGGUUGAACGGCCACAUUGGGACUGAGACACGGCCCAGACUCCUACGGGAGGCAGCAGUGGGGGAUAUUGCACAAUGGGGGAAACCCUGAUGCAGCGACGCCGCGUGGAGGAAGAAGGUUUUCGGAUUGUAAACUCCUGUCGUGAGGGACGAUAAAGACGGUACCUAACAAGAAAGCACCGGCUAACUACGUG